rnacentral:tRNA from 1 species
GCCGAAGUGGUGGAAUGGCAGACGCGCAUGGUUCAGGGCCAUGUGUCCGCAAGGGCGUGUGGGUUCAAAUCCCACCUUCGGCACCA